rnacentral:rRNA from 1 species
CUUAUAAUAUUAUUAAUUUUUUUUUGUUUAUUUGUUUUGUGAGAAAUAUAUUUUUUCUUAUUAAUUUUUUUGAAUAGAUGUUUAUUUAUUAUAGUUUAUAGUAUUGUGAAAGAAUUAUUUUUUGUUAUUAAAAGAUUAUUUUGUUUGUAGUACCUUGUGUUUCAGGGUUUAUUAAUUUUUAUUUAAGUUUUUAUUUUUCCCGAAUUAAAAAGAGCUAGGAAGUUAUUUAUUUUAUUGUUGCAUUAAUAUUUAUAAUUGCUUUCUUGUAAUGAAACGUUAUUCGUUUUUUAAUAUAUCUGGUUUUUCAAGAAAUUAUUUUAAUUUGUUUUGUUCAUAUUACUAUUAUAAUUUUGUAUUUUAGUUGUUUGAAUAAUUAAAUAUCUGAGGGGAUAAGCUUUUAGAUUUAUUCAUUAAAAGUGUUUAUUUUGUAUUAAUUUAUAGGAUUAGAAUUUUCCAUUUUAAUAAGGAUGUUAUAAUUUAUUUUUAUUGGUUUUGAUUUUUAUCUGCUUUAAUUUUUUUAUUGAAAUUUUUUUAGUAAUUUUAAAUUUUAAUUGAUUAUGAUAAAAUUAGUAUAUUUAUUGUAUAAAUAUUUUAGAUUUAUAGGUUAUUAUAAGGAACUCGGCAAAUAUAAUUUUCACCUGUUUAAUAAAAACAUGUCUUUUUGAUAAUUAUUUAAAGUCUGUCCUGCCCAAUGAUUUUUAUUUAAUGGCCGCAGUAUUUUGACUGUGCAAAGGUAGCAUAAUCAUUAGUUUUUUAAUUGAAAGCUGGUAUGAAUGGUUUGAUGAAAAAUUAACUGUCUCAUUUUAAUUUUAUUAGAAUUUUAUUUUUAAGUUAAAAUGCUUAAAUGUUUUAUAAAGACGAGAAGACCCUAUAGAGUUUAAUAUUAUAAUAAUUUAUUUAUUUUAUGUUUUUAAUUUAGAUUUUUUGUUUUGGUAUUUUGCUGGGGCGGUUAGAAAAUUUAUUUAACUUUUCUUUUAUUUUUACAUUUAUUUUUGAGUUUAUGAUCCUUUUUAUUGAUUUUAAGAUUAAAUUACCUUAGGGAUAACAGCGUAAUUUUUUUGGAAAGUUCAUAUUUAUAAAAAAGUUUGCGACCUCGAUGUUGGAUUAAAAUUUAUUUUUGGUGAAGAAGCUGAAAUAUUAGGUCUGUUCGACCUUUAAAAUUUUACAUGAUCUGAGUUUAAACCGGCGUGAGCCAGGUUGGUUUCUAUCUUUUAAUUUAUUAAAGAUCUUAGUACGAAAGGACCAGGUUUUUAAAUUAUAUUUUGUUUUUUGAACAUUAUU